UGACAACAUGGUGUUUUAGGAAGCGGACCACUAGGAACAAGAAGUAUCGUGUGUUGGCCCUUCUUGUGGUAUCAAGAUAUUCUUUUUGUUUUUUUACGGAGAAGACUUAAAAUAAUGCUACUUGGAACUACGUUAUUCGUGGCUGUAGUGUUAGCAUGUUCAGAGGCCCUGCAACGACAGACCCCAAGCUGGUAUAAUACCCGAGGAAGACGAUUAUGGCUGAUCAAUAGACUAGAUCAUAAUAGAAGGCAGUGUGUCGUGGACUACCGGGAAAGAUUUGGAUUUAAUACCAUAUUUACUGUUAGCCGCGGUGGCAAGUGUAUGAAAUUCUACUGUUCUCCCAGAUUUGGAGUUCGUCUUAUCAGUACCAGAUCAGGAUGUCCGUACAAUGAUAGAUGCAUAAAACGGGGUGGACAGAUAACAGAAGAUUGUGCGACAUAUGAAUGUUAUUUUUGGUCUAGGAAAACUCAAACGCACGUGUCCUUUCAAAAUAUUUGGUACUUGAGGAAAGAAGGUUGUUUGAAUCGAGGUAAAUGUCUGGCAAUACGCGAAAAAUUUAUUGACACCAAAUAUUGUGGUGUUUAUAUAUGUUAUAAGAAAUAUGCCGCGGGUAAAGCUAAAUAUGAUAUGGUGCUAGCGGAGAAUAGAUGUCCGUAUCUAGGUAAUUGUAUUAUUAUAGAUAAACGUUAUAUACUACAGUUUAAAGGUAUUUGUAACAUUAUACAGUGUAAAUACAAGAAAACAAACGAGGGAAAUAUGACGUUGAAUAUCCUCGAAAACCGGUGUGAGGAACCAGAUGGAACAUGUUCGAGAGAAGGCACAAUCAAGCAAGCAGAUGACUGUUAUAGGGCACGAUGUAAAUCUUUAUCUGAUGGUAGAGCUUACUAUUAUACCGAAUACAGAAACACCCUGGCUUGUCGACGAAAAUACGGAUAACAUUUAACAUGGCGCUCGAAUUUUGGUUUUAAAUGAUAAAUGAUUCCAUUGAAACCCUCUACGUGUUUAAAAUUAUUGAUCACAGUUUUUUUUCUCUUAGCACAACACGAAUAAAAUGUAA